GACAGGUGCUGCAUGGCUGUCGUCAGCUCGUGUCGUGAGAUGUUCGGUUAAGUCCGCUAACGAGCGCAACCCUCGCUGUGUGUUACAAGUGUCACACGGAACUGCCGGUCAUAAACCGGAGGAAGGUGGGGAUGACGUCAAGUCAGCAUGGCCUUUAUAUCCUGGGCUACACACACGCUACAAUGGGAAGGGACAAUAGGUUGCGAAACCGCGAGGUGGAGCCAAUCCAGCAAAACUUCCCUCAGUUCAGAUUGCAGGCUGCAACUCGCCUGCAUGAAGUUGGAGUUGCUAGUAAGCGCAGGUCAGCCAUACUGCGUUGAAUACGUUCCCGGGGCUU
rnacentral:rRNA from 1 species